rnacentral:lncRNA from 1 species
UGAGACGGUGGGUUCUCGUGAUGUGGGGGGACAUCAUUAGUAAUGUCCUCGGGGGCCUUCUCCUCGGUAGAUUGGGAGAGGCGAUAUUGAGGAGGGUAGGUUCCUCGGCACUUUUCGAUCAUCCUCAUGCUAAGCAUGCUCGAGAUGCCUUGUGGAGAGAUCUGGCCAAUAAGGGUCAAGGAUGAUUCUUGAGCCACGGUGCAGAGGAACCCGAAGUGUUGAGCCAAUCGUGUCACAUAGGGGCCAAUGGAAAUGACCCCCUUCCUA